rnacentral:rRNA from 2 species
GGGUUGUGAGGUUAAGCGACUAAGCGUACACGGUGGAUGCCCUGGCAGUCAGAGGCGAUGAAGGACGUGCUAAUCUGCGAUAAGCGUCGGUAAGGUGAUAUGAACCGUUAUAACCGGCGAUUUCCGAAUGGGGAAACCCAGUGUGAUUCGUCACACUAUCAUUAACUGAAUCCAUAGGUUAAUGAGGCGAACCGGGGGAACUGAAACAUCUAAGUACCCCGAGGAAAAGAAAUCAACCGAGAUUCCCCCAGUAGCGGCGAGCGAACGGGGAGCAGCCCAGAGCCUGAAUCAGUGUGUGUGUUAGUGGAAGCGUCUGGAAAGGCGCGCGAUACAGGGUGACAGCCCCGUACACAAAAAUGCACAUACUGUGAGCUCGAUGAGUAGGGCGGGACACGUGGUAUCCUGUCUGAAUAUGGGGGGACCAUCCUCCAAGGCUAAAUACUCCUGACUGACCGAUAGUGAACCAGUACCGUGAGGGAAAGGCGAAAAGAACCCCGGCGAGGGGAGUGAAAAAGAACCUGAAACCGUGUACGUACAAGCAGUGGGAGCCUCUUUAUGGGGUGACUGCGUACCUUUUGUAUAAUGGGUCAGCGACUUAUAUUCUGUAGCAAGGUUAACCGAAUAGGGGAGCCGAAGGGAAACCGAGUCUUAACUGGGCGUUAAGUUGCAGGGUAUAGACCCGAAACCCGGUGAUCUAGCCAUGGGCAGGUUGAAGGUUGGGUAACACUAACUGGAGGACCGAACCGACUAAUGUUGAAAAAUUAGCGGAUGACUUGUGGCUGGGGGUGAAAGGCCAAUCAAACCGGGAGAUAGCUGGUUCUCCCCGAAAGCUAUUUAGGUAGCGCCUCGUGAAUUCAUCUCCGGGGGUAGAGCACUGUUUCGGCAAGGGGGUCAUCCCGACUUACCAACCCGAUGCAAACUGCGAAUACCGGAGAAUGUUAUCACGGGAGACACACGGCGGGUGCUAACGUCCGUCGUGAAGAGGGAAACAACCCAGACCGCCAGCUAAGGUCCCAAAGUCAUGGUUAAGUGGGAAACGAUGUGGGAAGGCCCAGACAGCCAGGAUGUUGGCUUAGAAGCAGCCAUCAUUUAAAGAAAGCGUAAUAGCUCACUGGUCGAGUCGGCCUGCGCGGAAGAUGUAACGGGGCUAAACCAUGCACCGAAGCUGCGGCAGCGACACUAUGUGUUGUUGGGUAGGGGAGCGUUCUGUAAGCCUGUGAAGGUGUGCUGUGAGGUAUGCUGGAGGUAUCAGAAGUGCGAAUGCUGACAUAAGUAACGAUAAAGCGGGUGAAAAGCCCGCUCGCCGGAAGACCAAGGGUUCCUGUCCAACGUUAAUCGGGGCAGGGUGAGUCGACCCCUAAGGCGAGGCCGAAAGGCGUAGUCGAUGGGAAACAGGUUAAUAUUCCUGUACUUGGUGUUACUGCGAAGGGGGGACGGAGAAGGCUAUGUUGGCCGGGCGACGGUUGUCCCGGUUUAAGCGUGUAGGCUGGUUUUCCAGGCAAAUCCGGAAAAUCAAGGCUGAGGCGUGAUGACGAGGCACUACGGUGCUGAAGCAACAAAUGCCCUGCUUCCAGGAAAAGCCUCUAAGCAUCAGGUAACAUCAAAUCGUACCCCAAACCGACACAGGUGGUCAGGUAGAGAAUACCAAGGCGCUUGAGAGAACUCGGGUGAAGGAACUAGGCAAAAUGGUGCCGUAACUUCGGGAGAAGGCACGCUGAUAUGUAGGUGAAGUCCCUUGCGGAUGGAGCUGAAAUCAGUCGAAGAUACCAGCUGGCUGCAACUGUUUAUUAAAAACACAGCACUGUGCAAACACGAAAGUGGACGUAUACGGUGUGACGCCUGCCCGGUGCCGGAAGGUUAAUUGAUGGGGUUAGCGGUAACGCGAAGCUCUUGAUCGAAGCCCCGGUAAACGGCGGCCGUAACUAUAACGGUCCUAAGGUAGCGAAAUUCCUUGUCGGGUAAGUUCCGACCUGCACGAAUGGCGUAAUGAUGGCCAGGCUGUCUCCACCCGAGACUCAGUGAAAUUGAACUCGCUGUGAAGAUGCAGUGUACCCGCGGCAAGACGGAAAGACCCCGUGAACCUUUACUAUAGCUUGACACUGAACAUUGAGCCUUGAUGUGUAGGAUAGGUGGGAGGCUUUGAAGUGUGGACGCCAGUCUGCAUGGAGCCGACCUUGAAAUACCACCCUUUAAUGUUUGAUGUUCUAACGUUGGCCCCUGAUCGGGGUUGCGGACAGUGUCUGGUGGGUAGUUUGACUGGGGCGGUCUCCUCCUAAAGAGUAACGGAGGAGCACGAAGGUUGGCUAAUCCUGGUCGGACAUCAGGAGGUUAGUGCAAUGGCAUAAGCCAGCUUGACUGCGAGCGUGACGGCGCGAGCAGGUGCGAAAGCAGGUCAUAGUGAUCCGGUGGUUCUGAAUGGAAGGGCCAUCGCUCAACGGAUAAAAGGUACUCCGGGGAUAACAGGCUGAUACCGCCCAAGAGUUCAUAUCGACGGCGGUGUUUGGCACCUCGAUGUCGGCUCAUCACAUCCUGGGGCUGAAGUAGGUCCCAAGGGUAUGGCUGUUCGCCAUUUAAAGUGGUACGCGAGCUGGGUUUAGAACGUCGUGAGACAGUUCGGUCCCUAUCUGCCGUGGGCGCUGGAGAACUGAGGGGGGCUGCUCCUAGUACGAGAGGACCGGAGUGGACGCAUCACUGGUGUUCGGGUUGUCAUGCCAAUGGCACUGCCCGGUAGCUAAAUGCGGAAGAGAUAAGUGCUGAAAGCAUCUAAGCACGAAACUUGCCCCGAGAUGAGUUCUCCCUGACCCUUUAAGGGUCCUGAAGGAACGUUGAAGACGACGACGUUGAUAGGCCGGGUGUGUAAGCGCAGCGAUGCGUUGAGCUAACCGGUACUAAUGAACCGUGAGGCUUAACCUUACAACGCCGAAG